AUUAACAAUAUGUAUUAAUCAGUUGUAAAAUAUUAACCUUUAAGACUUGAUAAUGAAAAAAACAUCCUUAUCCAAGGGACCUAAGAAAGGUGCUUGGUAUCCAAAAGCUUGUCUAUAUUUUUCCCAAAUAAAUGUGUGGUCAAGUAAGAUAUGCCACCCCCCAAAAAAGUCCUUGCCUCUUGCAUCCUUAUCCAAGUAAUUUUUACUGGUGUGACUAGUUCAAUCUAAGGCUCUGGUCCUGCAAAGCCAUACAUAAUUAGCCCCUUUGUAGUAACCCCCCACCAACUACUGCUAUUCUCUUGUAGGCCUAAUAAAUGGACCUACUUGGGGUAGGUUGAUAGUACUUGGAUUAAGGGUGGGAUCACAAAAGGUCUAUACACUGUUGAAACUCCAUUUCAGUGGACCGAGGCCCAAAUUCAAAGCACUUAUUAACUACAUGCUUAACCUGAAACUAGUACAUAAACGUCUGACUGCCUAAAGUAGGUCUUAGUGCAUAGACACAUGGGAAACUAAUCACAAAGUAAACCAAGGGCAGGACUUUACUGCACAUCAGCUGUUCCACUGUAACUGUCCAUAAACAUCCUUACCCCACAGUAAAUGAAAGCUAACCCGUGGAGUAAGAGCAUGAAACCGCACGUAAGACAUCUGUUUCCAUGGAAAGAGAAGCAGAAACAGGCUGAACAGCCAGAAGCUUUUCAAUUUCAGUUGCUAGCUGCAUUCCCCAGUUCCGCUCCUGUUUCCAUGACAACUGAUGUAGCAUCAGGAAAAACAAAUGUACGGCAUAAACAACAGCUGAGGGCAGAAAAAGCUACUUUGGGAAAAAUGACCUUUGUACUUUAAAAUUGGGGAGUACCUUGCUGACUCCUAUUGGGGUGAUGGAACCCCAAGGAACACCCCCACUGGCCCAAGGGCGGGAAACGGAGGCAGACACUCCUGCCAGGAGCAGAAACUUACUUGAGAAGAUGCUGGCGGUGUGGUCUGGGGAGUUCCCAGUGCCACAUCCACCCUGCUUUAGAAGCUCAUGCUGGAUCCAGGUUAGCCGGUGCACUACAAAGGACAUCAUAAAGUCGCACCCCGCAAUGGCUGAGGGAAGAACACAGACCUGGGAGCAUGGCUGUUGGAGAGCCGACCCAAACCUGAGUGUGCUCCAGCACAAGCAGAACAAAGAGAAGGGCAGGGGUAGCUCUUCUGAUUGGAGGCUUGGAGGGGCCUCAGCACAGUCGGACCAACUUCACACUGCGGAGGAGUUGCCAGCUCAGAAUGGAGGUGACGGCAAACAUCAGCUGUUUGGCAGGACUGACAGGAGGGACAAACUGUGAGUUUGUUCUGGAGACGCGAGGUCUCCUGUGGUCAGAUUGAGAGGGCAGCAAUGUCAGACAAGGAAAAUUAAGGAUAUAUGAUGGACUAACCCUGACGGGCAUACCCAUCAAAGCCCAUAGAACUGUGAGACAAGUGGUCAACUAAAUAUUGAGAGAAAGAUUAGACCAACUGUGAGGAUGAUGCCACUUUACCAUCCGAUGGUACUUGGCCUGACCAGACCAUAAGACCAAGUUGGUGCAAGGACAGGUUGUAGGGGAGGCAGAGCCCCGAGAGACAGUGAGGCACUCAUGAGGGCAAAUGUAAAACAUCAAGGAUCCUCCCUACUCAUCUAAAAAAUCAAGACGUGGUGGGCAAGAUGGAGGGCGUGCUCUGUUAAUAUGAGCCAGCAAGGUUAAGCUGUCAGGCCCCAAGAACUGGCACUUGACAGAUUGGAGCCCUAGACCUCAGUGGCGAACCUGAACAAGGCACGGCCAUUUACACCCAUGUAAACUUACUUUAUAUGCAUGGGGGAAAAAAAACAACUAAACCCGCACAAAUUCAGAAGAGACAAAUCACAAGAACAGCCAACCCAAAAUCAGAAGGCAGAUUUCAAAACCCAGCCCGGGACUUGUGAAUUCUGACACUUUCUGAAAGGUCUAACUAUUCUUGGAUUCCUGGAUAACUUCCCAGCCCACAUUUGACUGCCAUAAACUGAAGAUCCACAUGACAGUUUCAUAAACAAAUCUCUUAUCAGGAGGCCACUAAAUCAAACUCCAUACAGCAUUCUGUAAAUGCACACUGAAAAUGUAAUUUUCUUACUUGUGUAAGUGGCAUAUGGGUGAAAUAACGUCAGAUGCUGUUCCAGUGUCACACCUAAUACCAAAUCUUCUUUCCAUGUGAAGUUGAUUUUACAACUUUUUUACCCUCAAUAGCGUCAUACUUCUUACCACCGUUUAGCUUCUUAAACAGAUGGUCAAGAACCUAAUAAUAUCUCAAUCUAUAACUCCAUAACAGGGAGAUCUAACCCUUUCAGGGCCCAAGGAUCCUAGGGCCAACCAGCUCUGUUUGAUUACUGGAUUAGCUAAAAAGGAUUCAAGUGGUUCCUAGAAAGCUUAGGAGAGCUCAGGUGAAAGAAGUUGGCUCCUGUGAGUAUCACUGGAGCAGAGGGAGA